rnacentral:misc_RNA from 1 species
GAUGAAGAACGCAGCGAAAUGCGAUAAUUAAUGUGAAUUGCAGAAUUCCGUGAAUCAUCGAGUCUUUGAACGCACAUUGCGCCUCAUGGCAUUCCGUGAGGCAUGCCCAUCUCAGCGUUAGAAAAUAUUCUCAAAUUUUAGUUUUGUGCUAAAAUUUGGAUCAUGUCAAGGAAGCUAUUACUAUUAUUGUGAUCGCUCUUUGGAAAUUGAUAGGUCUUUGAGUUGCUACUCAUAGAACGUGAUGAAUCUUUCUUCGUCCUAUUGUAAUUCACUCUGGUAGUCCUAAAACUUGUAUGCCUGUGGCAUAUCUUGUAAUUUGACCUGAGAUUGGGUAGGGAUACCCGCUGAACUUAAGCAUAUCAAUAAGCGGAGGA